CCUUUUAUUAAUUUCUGUCAAUGUCCUUGUACUACUACAAAAAAGGGCUUCUACCACGCUGGAUCAAGAUCGAUUUUGUAAAAAUUGAUGUCUUCAAAUGGAAAAUCCCCCUUCUACCAGAUUUCUCUUCAUUUCUCAGCUACCCUUUAAUUGAGCAGGGUCCGACAGUUACUUUCUAUUGAUUCUGUUUGGGUUUUUGUAGGUUGGAGAAGUGUGGUGGGUGAACUAAUGAAGUUCUUUGCUCAGAAUCAUUUGUCAUCAAUCAAUUGUAUGCAAUCCUUUUUCUCUAUCUCUAGGUGUAACUCUGUAGUACCUAUUUUAUCUCCUUUGUUGCCAAUUUAUGAUGUGUUUAUUGAUAAUCUUAGCAAAUCUGGAGUUUCGGACUAUAGUUUUUUUUUUGGUCAGCAAAAUUUGCACUAUAGUUGUAAUUUAGUUUGAGAUUGAUCAAAGCAUGAUAUAUUUGAGAGAUAAACUACAAGAACUUCUUAUCCAAAUAUUAGAAUCCCAG
rnacentral:lncRNA from 1 species